GAAAUGCGAUAAGUAGUGUGAAUUGCAGAAUUCAGUGAAUCAUCGAAUCUUUGAACGCACAUUGCGCCCUAUGGUAUUCCGUAGGGCAUGCCUGUUCGAACGUCAUUUACACCUUCAAGCCUUGCUUGGUGUUGGGUGACUGUGGCCCCUUUGGGGCCACUCGCCUUAAAGUCAUUGGCGGCCGGUUCGUUGGCUUUGUAGCGCAGCACAAUUGCGUCCUCGAAGCCGCUGGACCAGCUCCCAGAAGCUAAUUUUAAAUGUUUGACCUCGAAUCAGGUAGGGAUACCCGCUGAACUUAAGC
rnacentral:misc_RNA from 1 species